UUCAUCUUCUUCUCACACUUCUUUCUCUCAUCACAGAGGUGUUGGACAUUGACAACCCAUCAUCUCUUCCAGCCCUUGCUCUGGGCAGCUGUCCUGAGGGAGCAGCAGCGUGUCACAGCAAGUGUCUUCAGCAUUGCAUAUGCACCUUUGGAUGGACGAGACUCCAUUGUCUUGUUGUUAUUUUAUUGUUGAAGGAGACUUACACCACUCUUCUGCCUAAGGACCAGCUGAAUGAGUUUGAGUUCCCAGAUAAAUCUUGGAUUCUAACCUACAAGGACCAGGCAUCAGCAAUGAAAACACCACUGCUGCUGAUAAUAUAUAGAGGUCAAGUAUAUAAAUGGAUCUUUGCAUCUGGGUUGUUGCAUAUGCUACAUCUGAUGUGCUGUCUCCUCAGAGAAGAGAAAAAAUAAUCAGACAUCACAAAACAGAGUCCUCAGCCCUUCUGAUUACAUGCCAAGGGACUCACUUCAUUUAACUAAUUAUUUUAUUACAGUUUUCUUUAGACACAAGAUAUGAAAAAUUCAUAUAAAAAACUUGAAAAUAUAGAGUUGUGCAAAUCUGUUCUGCCAAACUUUAUCUCUGACCCAGGAAAAUAGACAAUAAAAAAAAAAAAAGAGAAAAAAAAACAGGGGAUAAUACUAUGC